UGAACGCUCCGCUGAGAGUGAGCUCUCCCGGCUUCAUCCACAUUGCGACGGCUUGUGCGGGGCAGUGCUCAUUAUAUAGAGCGAAAAUACUGAAAAUGAAGGCUGUGAAACAUGAUCAGCUUUGCCCUUUUGGCGGUCACACCAUUUAGACUUUUUUUUAGGGCAAGUCGUUUUAAAGUUAUUGGCGUUUAUCGCUGAAUGUGUCACGAAUAUCGAAAACAAAAUCAACUGCGCAUUUUUGGUAUGUUUACCUCCUGGCAAAGAAAUAAAAACUAACAAUAAUAAAAUUGCCAGACAUUACUGUAAUAUCAGCGUCAGAUUGGACGAAUCUGCUGAGUUCGGUCCAUCAUAUCUGGAGCGGAGGACCUGAAACCGGUCGUCACUUAACACGCAACAUGGAAAGAAACGUCUACAUAAUGGAACCUCAAAAUACAGGUAUCAUAUACCCUCUUUAAGU